rnacentral:rRNA from 1 species
UACGAAGGGGGGCUAGCGUUGCUCGGAAUCACUGGGCGUAAAGCGCACGUAGGCGGCUUUUUUAAGUCAGGGGUGAAAUCCUGGAGCUCAACUCCAGAACUGCCUUUGAUACUGAGAAGCUUGAGUCCGGGAGAGGUGAGUGGAACUGCGAGUGUAGAGGUGAAAUUCGUAGAUAUUCGCAAGAACACCAGUGGCGAAGGCGGCUCACUGGCCCGGUACUGACGCUGAGGUGCGAAAGCGUGGGGAGCAAACAGG